rnacentral:rRNA from 1 species
CCCAUGUCUUUUGCGCACUUGUUGUUUCCUGGGCGGGCUCGCCCGCCACCAGGACCAAACCAUAAACCUUUUUUUCUUAUGCAGUUUCCAUCAGCGUCAGUAAAAACAAUGUAAUUAUUACAACUUUCAACAACGGAUCUCUUGGUUCUGGCAUCGAUGAAGAACGCAGCGAAAUGCGAUACGUAGUGUGAAUUGCAGAAUUCAGUGAAUCAUCGAAUCUUUGAACGCACAUUGCGCCCUUUGGUAUUCCAAAGGGCAUGCCUGUUCGAGCGUCAUUUGUACCUUCAAGCUUUGCUUGGUGUUGGGCGUCUUUUUGUCUCUCCUUUGCGGGAGACUCGCCUUAAAACGAUUGGCAGCCGGCCUACUGGUUUCGGAGCGCAGCACAUUUUUUGCGCUUUGUAUCAGGAGAAAAGGACGGUACUCCAUCAAGACGUUUACGUUUUUCACUUUUGACCUCGGAUCAGGUAGGGAUACCCGCUGAACUUAAGCAUAUC